rnacentral:rRNA from 1 species
GAUGAACGCUGGCGGCGUGCCUAAUACAUGCAAGUCGAGCGAACAGACGAGGAGCUUGCUCCUCUGACGUUAGCGGCGGACGGGUGAGUAACACGUGGCUAACCUACCUAUAAGACUAGGAUAACUUCGGGAAACCGGAGCUAAUACCGGAUAAUCUAUUGCACCGCAUGUUUCAAUAGUGAAAGUCGGUUUUGCUCUCACUUAUAGCUGGUUCCGCGCCGCUUUAGCUAUUUGGUAAGUUAACAGCUUCCCAAGGCAACGUUGCCUAACCCACCUGAGAGGGUGAUCGCCCACACUGGAACUGACACACCGUCCAGACUCCUACGGGAGCCAGCAGUAGGGAAUCUCCCGCAACGGGCGGACGCCUGCCGGAGCAACGCCGCGUGAGUGAGGAAGGUCUUCGGUUCGUAAAACUCUGUUAUUAGGGCAGAACAACUGUGUAAGUAACUAUGCCCGCCUUGACGGUACCGAAUCAGAAAUCCACGGCUAACUACGUG